rfam:Ovis aries breed Texel chromosome 11, whole genome shotgun sequence.
UCCCUGGUGGUCUAGUGGUUAGGAUUUGGCACUUUUCACUGCCAUGGCCCUGGUUCAAUCCCUGGUCAGGGAA